GGUUAAGCGACCAAGCGUACACGGUGGAUGCCCCGCAGGUCAGAGGCGAUGCAUGGGCGCGCACCCGCGAUAAGCGCCGCAGGUGAUAUGAACCGUUAUAACCGGCGAUACCCGAAUGGGGGAAACCCAGUGUGACUUCGUCACACUAUCAUUAACCGAAUCCAUAGGUUAUCGAGGCGAACCGGGGAACUGAAACAUCUGGGUACCCUGAGGAAAAGAACAACCGGAGAUUCCCCAGUAGCGGCGAGCGAACGGGAGGAGCCCAGAGCCUGAAUCAGCAUGUGUGUUAGCGGAAGCGUCUGAAAGGCGCGCGCGAUACAGGGUGAUAGCCCCGUACACAAAAGCGCAUGUGCUGUGAGCUCGAUGGCGACACGUGGUAUCCGUCUGAAUAUGGGGACCAUCCUCCGCUGCCAAAUACCCUGACUGACCGAUAGCGAACCACAGUACCGCGGAGGGAAAGGCGAAAGAACCCCGGCGAGGGGAGCAAAAAGAACCUGAAACGUACGCAAUAAAGAGGGGAGAGCCCCACCACCAAAGCGUUUCGCUUUGUGUGGUGCAAUAAAGAAGCGUAACGACAGCACGAAACGACGUUUAACGGAGCGCAAGCAUCACCAACAUACAAAAAGUCAGCAGUGGAGCGCUUUGGUGGAAGAACGCGUCUCGCGGCACGGAUCAGCGACUAUAUUCUGGGUGCGUUAACCGAAUAGGGAGCCGGAGGGAAACCGAGUCUUAACCGGCGUUAAGUUGCAGGGUAUAGACCCGAAACCGGUGAUCUAGCCAUGGGCAGGCGGUUGAAGCUGGGUAACACUAACUGGAGUGACCGAACCGACUAAUGUUGAAAAUUAGCGGAUGACCUGUGGCUGGGGUGAAAGCGUCAAUCAAACCGGGAAAGAUAGCUAUCCUCCCGAAAGCUAUUUAGGUAGCGCCUCGUGACCCAUCUCCCGUAGAGCACUGUUUCGGCUAGGCCAUCCCGGCUUACCAACCUGAUGCAAACUGCGAAUACCGGAGAAUGUUAUCACGGGAGACACACGGCGGGUGCUAACGUCCGUCGUGAAGAGGGAACAAACCCAGACCGCCGCCAAGGUCCCAGCCAGCGUCAAGUGGGAACGAUGUGGGAAGGCCCUAAGGCCACGAUGUUGGCUUAGAAGCAGCCAUCAUUUAAAGAAAGCGCACAGUCAAUUGGUCGGUCGGCCUGCGCGGAAGAUGUAACGGGCCAACCAUGCACCGAAGCUGCGGCAGCGACGCUUUAUGCGUUGCUGGGUAGGGGAGCGUUCUGUAAGCCCGUGAAGGUGGCCUGUGAGGGUUGCCGGAGGUAUCAGAAGUGCGAAUGCUGGCCAUAAGUAACGAUAAAGGGUGAAAAGCCUGCCGUCAGCACCAAGGGUUCCUGUCCAACGUUAAUCGGGGCAGGGUGAGUCGACCCCUGGCGCGAGGCCGAAAGGCGUAGUCGAUGGGAAACGGCUAACAUUCCCGUACUUGGUGUUACUGCGAAGGGAUUGGCGAAGGCUAUAUACGGGCGACGGCUGUCCUGGCUUAAGCGUGUAGUGUGCGUUCCAGUAAACUGGUUCAAUUUUUAACACUGAGGCGUGACGACGAGGCACUACGGUGCUGAAGCAACAAAUGCCCUGCUUCCGCGUGAAAAGCCUCUAAGCAUCAGGUGUACAUCAAAUCAAAAUUCCCCAAACCGACACAGGUGGUCAAGAGAAUACCAAGGCGCUUGAGAGAACUUCCGGGUGAAGGAAUCCAGGCAAAAUGGUGCCGUAAAUCCGGGAGAAAGGCACGCUGACACGUAGGUGAAGUGAUUUACCCAUGGAGCUGAAGUCAGUCGAAGAUACCAGCUGGCUGCAACUGUUUAUUAAAACACAGCACUGCGUAAACACGAAAGUGACGCUACGGCGUGACGCCUGCCCGGUGCCGGAAGGUUAAUUGAUCAGCGUUUAGCUCCUGACGGCUUCUCCCGGUACCGCGAAGCCCGCACCGCAACGGUCCUAAGGUAGCAAAUUCCUUGUCGGGUAAGUUCCGACCUGCACGAAUGGCGUACGCUGUCUCCACCCGGAGACUCAGUGAAAUUGAACUCGCUGUGGAAGAUGCAGUGUACCCGCGGCAAGUACGGAAAGCAUCCUGUGAACCUUUACUAUAGCUUGACACUGAACAUUGAGUUUUGAUGUAGGAUAGGUGGAGGCUUUGAAGCGUGGACGCCAGUCUGCAUGAGCCAAACCCUGAAAUACCACCCUUUACUUGAUGUUCUAACGUGGACCCGUUACCCGGGUUGCGACAGUGUCUGGUGGGUAUUUUGAUUCGGGGCGGCCCUCCUAAAGAGUAACGAGCAUCAGCGUCAGCCAACCGGUCGGACAUCAGGAGGCGUACGGCGUUUUUCAGCUUGACUGCGAGCGUGACGGCGCGAGCAGGUGCGAAAGCAGGUCAUAGUGAUCCGGUGGCGUAGCGGGCCAUCGCUCAACGGAUAAAAGGGUACCGUGAAUAGGCUGAUAAUGUCCAAGAGUUCGGCACGACGGCGGUGUUUGGCACCCGAUGUCGGCUCAUCACAUCCCGGGCUGAAGUAGUCCCAUGGGUAUAUUGUUCGCCAUUUAAAGUGGUACGCGAGCUGGGUUUGAACGUCGCGAGACAAAAUUCGGUCCCCAUUCGCCGUGGGCGCUGGAGAACUGGAGGGGGGCUGUCUUUAGCAAUGAGAGGACCGAGUGACGCAUCACUGGUGUUCGGGGCUGUCAUGCCACCGCCACUGCCCGGUAAAGCACGCGAAGAGAUAAGUGCUGAAAGCAUCUAAGGCUUGCACCCUGCCCCGAGAUGAGUUCUCCCGAGACUUUAGGUCUCCGAAGGAACGUUGAAGACGACGACGUUGAUAGGCCGGGUGUAAGCGCAGCGAUGUUGAGCUAACCGGUACUAAUGGCGUCCGUGAGGUUUUCAACCUU
rnacentral:rRNA from 1 species